rnacentral:snRNA from 1 species
UUGGAUUGUUCACCCACCAA